rnacentral:rRNA from 1 species
CCUACGGGAGGCUGCAGUGGGGAAUAUUGGACAAUGGGGGGAACCCUGAUCCAGCCAUGCCGCGUGUGUGAAGAAGGCCCUCGGGUUGUAAAGCACUUUCAGUGAGGAAGAACGCCUGGUGGUUAAUACCCAUCAGGAAAGACAUCACUCACAGAAGAAGCACCGGCUAACUCCGUGCCAGCAGCCGCGGUAAUACGGAGGGUGCGAGCGUUAAUCGGAAUUACUGGGCGUAAAGCGCGCGUAGGUGGCUUGAUAAGCCGGUUGUGAAAGCCCCGGGCUCAACCUGGGAACGGCAUCCGGAACUGUCAAGCUAGAGUGCAGGAGAGGAAGGUAGAAUUACAGGUGUAGCGGUGAAAUGCGUAGAGAUCGGGAGGAAUACCAGUGGCGAAGGCGGCCUUCUGGACUGACACUGACACUGAGGUGCGAAAGCGUGGGUAGCAAACAGGAUUAGAUACCCCUGUAGUC